GCGGGUAUGGCGGAAUUGGCAGACGCGCAAGACUAAGGAUCUUGUGGAGAGUUAUCUCCGUGGAAGUUCGAGUCUUCUUACCCGCA
rnacentral:tRNA from 1 species